CCUACGGGUGGCUGCAGUAAGGAAUAUUGGUCAAUGGACGCAAGUCUGAACCAGCCAUGCCGCGUGGAGGAUGAAGGUCCUCUGGAUUGUAAACUUCUUUUCUCUGGGACGAAACCCCCGAUUUCCAUCGGGCCUGACGGUACCAGAGGAAUAAGCACCGGCUAACUCCGUGCCAGCAGCCGCGGUAAUACGGAGGGUGCAAGCGUUAUCCGGAUUCACUGGGUUUAAAGGGUGCGUAGGCGGGUUUGUAAGUCAGUGGUGAAAUCCCCGAGCUU
rnacentral:rRNA from 1 species